rnacentral:misc_RNA from 1 species
GUACGCCUAAGACAAAAGGAGUUUAAUUGAUGAUUAUUGACGUGUUUUGUUUGGUUUCUUAGCGAUUUGGAUGCCACUUGUUUACAACUUCUCUGAAUUGGAGAUUAAGUUGAGUGUGAAAUUACAUAGGAUGAGAGAAUUGUAGUAGAAAUUGUUCUAUGAUGUGUUAUAUGUCAGCCCUAAGACUUUUGAACUUAAGCGGCAACUGAUGUGAAAUCUUGGCUGGUAACUAAAUUUAAGUGGCAACAUAUAUUUCAUAUUGUUGAAUUUUAUAAAUUUUAUGCGGUUCCACCCACAAUAAUUUUAUCCAUAGGGAUGAUUUGCCCACAAUAAUUUGCCUCGUGCCUUAGAUGUUCAAGUGUCAGUGUUGAUCACUGAUUCUGAUGAUUGUAUUGGAGAGGCUUGUUUUUGGACUAGUUACUUGUGCUACAUGAAUCUUUUGGGCUGCCUCCAAUUUUUAAUUAGCAAAAUGAUGCCCAUAAGUGUAGAAAGAUAUACGUUUAUA